CCUGUUCGAGCGUCAUUUAACCACUCACGCCUAGCGUGGUAUUGGGGCACGCGGUCUCGCGGCCCUCAAAAUUAGUGGCGGCGCCGGUGGGCUCUAAGCGUAGUACAUACUCCCGCUACAGAGUUCCCCCGGUGGCUCGCCACGAACCCCAUUUUUUACAGGUUGACCUCGGAUCAGGUAGGGAUACCCGCUGAACUUAA
rnacentral:misc_RNA from 1 species